rnacentral:rRNA from 1 species
AUACGGGGGAUUCAAGCGUUAUCCGGACUUAUUGGGUUUAAAGGGUGCGUAGGCUGAUAAAUCAGUCAGCGGUGAAAUUUACGGGCUUAACUUGUAGCUUGCCGUUGAAACUAUUUAUCUAGAGAUAUUUCGGCGUAUGCGGAAUGUAUCAAGUGGCGGUGAAAUGCAUAGAUAUGCUACAGAACACCAAUCGCGAAGGCAGCAUACGAGGCAUCAUCUGACGCUGAUGCACGAAAGCGUGGGGAUCAAACAGGAUUAGAUACCCUGGUAGUCCACGCCGUAAACGAUGGGCGCUCGUCGUCGGCGGCAGACAGUCGGCGGCCAAGCGAAAGCGAUAAGCGCCCCACCUGGGGAGUACGGUCGCAAGGCUGAAACUCAAAUGAAUUGACGGGG